rnacentral:rRNA from 1 species
GUCCACGCCGUAAACUGUGUUCACUAGGUGUAGGAGGUAUCGACCCCUUCUGUGCCACAGAUAAUUCGUUAAGUGAACCGCCUGGGAAGUACGACCGCAAGGUUAAAACUCAAAGAAAUUGACGGGGGCCCGCACAAGCAGUGGAGCAUGUGGUUUAAUUCGACGAUACGCGAAGAACCUUACCAAGGCUUGACAUCUAGAGAAUUCCUUAGAAAUUUGGAAGUGCCCGCAAGGGAGCUCUAAGACAGGUGGUGCAUGGCUGUCGU